UUCAUAGCAGGGAUAUAGGAUGGAAAAGA
rnacentral:piRNA from 1 species